rnacentral:rRNA from 1 species
CCAGACUCCUACGGGAGGCAGCAGUGGGGAAUAUUGCACAAUGGGGGAAACCCUGAUGCAGCGACGCCGCGUGAGUGAAGAAGUAUCUCGGUACGUAAAGCUCUAUCAGCAGGGAAGAAAAUGACGGUACCUGACUAAGAAGCCCCGGCUAACUACGUGCCAGCAGCCGCGUUAAUACGUAGGGGGCAAGCGUUAUCCGGAUUUACUGGGUGUAAAGGGAGCGUAGACGGCAGCACAAGUCUGGAGUGAAAUCCCGGGGCUUAACCCCGGAACUGCUUUGGAAACUGUGCGGCUGGAGUGCAGGAGGGGUAAGCGGAAUUCCUAGUGUAGCGGUGAAAUGCGUAGAUAUUGGGAGGAACACCAGUGGCGAAGGCGGCCUGCUGGACAUUAACUGACGCUGAGGCGCGAAAGCGUGGGGAGCAAACAGGAUUAGAUACCCUCGUAG